AUUGAACGCUGGCGGCAUGCUUUACACAUGCAAGUCGAACGGUAACAGGGAGCUUGCUCCGCUGACGAGUGGCGAACGGGUGAGUAAUAUAUCGGAACGUACCCAAGAGUGGGGGAUAACGUAGCGAAAGUUACGCUAAUACCGCAUACGAUCUAUGGAUGAAAGUGGGGGAUCGCAAGACCUCAUGCUCCUGGAGCGGCCGAUAUCUGAUUAGCUAGUUGGUGAGGUAAAGGCUCACCAAGGCGACGAUCAGUAGCUGGUCUGAGAGGACGACCAGCCACACUGGAACUGAGACACGGUCCAGACUCCUACGGGAGGCAGCAGUGGGGAAUUUUGGACAAUGGGCGCAAGCCUGAUCCAGCAAUGCCGCGUGAGUGAAGAAGGCCUUCGGGUUGUAAAGCUCUUUUGUCAGGGAAGAAACGGGAGUGGCUAAUAUCCAUUCCUAAUGACGGUACCUGAAGAAUAAGCACCGGCUAACUACGUGCCAGCCGCCGCGGUAA
rnacentral:rRNA from 1 species